GUAGCUUCUCACUAUCGUUAUUGUCCCUCUUGGGCACUAGCCUGGCAGCUGAGCUCUCUGAAGCUUAUAGCCUUUGGAGUAUGGGAAGAAGUUACCAACAGACACAGUCACAGGCUGCACAGAGAAGAGAUGAGCCAGGAACUGGGGCAGUGGGAAGAUGAAGAACAUAGGGCUAUUUUCACACCCUCCUGAAUCCCAUUUCCUGUUUCCUGCGCCUGCUGCUCCUAUAGCAAGUCUGCAAAAAACCCCUGGGGUGAGGACACUCAGAAACCAUCCAGACAUGCACAGAUUUCUCUGCCUCUGCCUCCAGAAACAAGACCUACAUAGCCUGCUGCUUCUUCAAAAUGUCCUCCUCAUACUCUGUUGCUGCUAGCAUGGCACUGGCUUGGCUUCAAGAAUCCUGUCUUUUAGGGGAUCAGAGGCAGAUUCUGAUAUCUGGCCAGUACUCCACAUGCUAGUUUACUAUUUCCUCUGCUAGAAAAUCCUCAUCCUCUUCAGGUUCCUAUUUUCUCACAGAUUCUACCUCCAUGGCCCCCUCAGCAAGGCUCCCCAAGCCUAGCGCCAGCCAUGAAAAUGCAACAUCCUGGUUUGUUCAACAUUACACAUUAAAAGAUGGGCUUACUCCUCUAUUCACUGCUCUUGACUGUGAACACAGUAUGCUUACAGAGAACUGUGCUCCACCCUGAGAACAACUCUAUGGCUGCAACAUUCUUUAAAGGCUUGAACCCAGUGCUGACCCCCUCCCAAGAACUUCUUGUUCUUGCUUCCAGAGGAUUGGAACUGUUCCAGGGGUAGCACUUAGAGAGCAGGACAUGCCCAUAAGCUUGAGGAAGGUACUGCUUACAAGAAAUGAGUCACAGCAACUCCAUUGCUUCCAACAACAAAGUGGAUGAAAAACACUCAAGCCCCACUAAACAAUACUCGGAGUUUUGCUGCGACAGACUGGUUAGACUAUUUGGACACUACCAUGAAGACUAUAUCCACCAUUCUGCCUUCAAAGGAGGAGACUGCAGAGAGAAAAGGGGAAGAGGAACAGGAGGAAAAAGGGGGAGGGGAGGAAGUGGAGGAGGGGAAGAAGGACGUAAUAGAGGAAGAGAUAUAGUUUUAUUGUCACAUAGAAAUGACAGUAGGAAUCAAUUUUUUCACUGUUGGUCUUUAGGAAAUCAUCUGACUUUCUCUGAGUUAGAGUAUGAUCGAUUAUUAGAAAAUGGUAAAAUGUGUUAAAAACUCUCUUUGUACGGUUUUGUGAGAAAUGUGUAAUGCUUAAAGACUAACCAAGAGCCUCUUGGCUAAACCAGGUUGAUGUCAACAAUAGCUAGUACUUAUUUGAGUCACCUUGAUUUUCCCUCCUCUUGAGAACUUUCUCUAACCAGUUUAGGCUGCAGUCAUGCCUCCUUUCCUUUCUCUGAACUCUCACAAUUAUUGCCUAGAUCUCGUUUGGUAAUUAAUCAUGUGCUACUUACUGCCUGUGUCAUCUCUUGUAUUGUUUUCUUAAAAUAUUUACACUUUUUUUUCGGUUGUCACUUAUCUUUCCAGCUGUCAUUUUCUUCAACUAUUUACGUCUCUGUUACUCAUCUUUCCAGCCAUCCUG
rnacentral:lncRNA from 1 species